UGUCGUAAAUCAGUGGCAGCUGCUGAAAAGGUACGGCAGCGGGGAAAACAACAAGGUUCAGAGAAAAGUGUGAUCCAUCGAAGUUAAAGUUACUUCUAAGGUGUACAACAGAAGUAAUCACGGUGUCUUAGCACCUGGUUGAUGAGGAAACAAGCUCUCACAGUGUGUUCACGUAAAAGAAGGUGAAUAAAUAUUGUGAACCAUCAGUUGGAGAGACCAUCUUUUCAACCCGGGAUGCUACAGCGGUGUCCCCUGACAGGCGAGCCUCCUCCUCCUCUUGGUCCUGGCGGCACUUGUGGAAAUUCUCCACCACCACGCCGACGAACAUGUUGAGGACGAAGAAGCUGACGAUGAGCAGGAAGGAGAUGAAGUAGAGCAACAUCCAAGGGUUGUGGUUCCUCACGGGCUGGAAAGAGAGGGGAGUUGCUGUUCGAUUCUUGAAAACUCAGCCCUUGGCUAAAUUGGGUCGAGGAAUGGGUACCAAACUGCAAUAUUACCGUGUAGAAAGCCCAUUCUGGCUUGUGUGUGACCUUGUCCCGAAAGUAACACUUCUCAUUAACAGGGGCCCGUUGUCUAACGGUCGGUGCUUCCCAGACUUGUUGUUGCGUCAUAUGCUCUCUUCCCCUCUCAAACUGAGCCUACUCCCCCGACCCACCCAUCCCAUCCAGUAUUCAGUGUAAAAAGAGCUACAAAUGUGACCUGUGCCUUUUGAAAUGCUCGAGCUUUUCAAAUGAAUCUAAGAAAGACCAUUUUGUUUGACUACUUGAUUGGAAAAUUUCCAAUACAACAAGAUAAUAACUGGACAGCACCGCUUAGUGUUAAAUUUUAAAUACAUUUGUUUUAUUUAUUUACACAUUAAAAGCAUCUAAAAUUAGUACUGUUGAGCAUCGGUAUUAACUUGCAGGUACCAAGAAUUGGUACUGUAUUGAUUCAAAUAUGAAUGGCACCCAUCUCUAAUUGGGGCUCUGUUCUUAACGCACUCUGA